UUAACUCAAAUUUGUACGGAGUUGGAACGUUUGUCGCUAUGGGCGCUAUUCCAACUGCAUACAAUUUUGAGUUA
rnacentral:pre_miRNA from 1 species